AUCCUGGCUUAGGAUGAACGCUAGCUACAGGCUUAACACAUGCAAGUCAGGGGCAGCAUUGAGAUAGCUUGCUAUUCAGAUGGCGACCGGCGCACGGGUGAGUAACGCGUAUCCAACCUUCCCCUUAGUAGAGGAUAGCCCGGCGAAAGUCGGAUUAAUACUCUAUGUUGUAUUUUGAGGACAUCUGACGAAUACCAAAGAUUUAUCGCUAAGGGAUGGGGAUGCGUCUGAUUAGCUUGUUGGCGGGGUAACGGCCCACCAAGGCGACGAUCAGUAGGGGUUCUGAGAGGAAGGUCCCCCACAUUGGUACUGAGACACGGACCAAACUCCUACGGGAGGCAGCAGUGAGGAAUAUUGGUCAAUGGGCGAGAGCCUGAACCAGCCAAGUAGCGUGCAGGAAGAACCUGCCCUAUGGGUUGUAAACUGCUUUUAUCAGGGAAUAAAGUGCGGCACGUGUGCUGUUUUGUAUGUACCUGAUGAAUAAGGACCGGCUAAUUCCGUGCCAGCAGCUGC
rnacentral:rRNA from 1 species